GCUUGUCUCAAAGAUUAAGCCAUGCAUGUCUAAGUAUAAACAACUUUAUACUGUGAAACUGCAGAUGGCUCAUUAAAUCAGUUAUAAUCUAUUUGAUGAUUACUUACUACAUGGAUAACCGUGGUAAUUCUAGAGCUAAUACAUGCGCAAAGUCCCAACUUUCGGGGAGGGAUGUAUUUAUUAGACGAAAAACCAAUGCGGGUUCGGCUGGUAUUGUGUUGAGUCAUAAUAACUGUGCGGAUCGCAUUUUAUGCGAUAAAUCGAUUGAGUUUCUGCCCUAUCAGCUUUGGAUGGUAGGAUAUGGGCCUACCAUGGCAUUAACGGGUAACGGGGAAUUAGGGUUUGAUUCCGGAGAGGGAGCCUUAGAAACGGCUACCACAUCCAAGGAAGGCAGCAGG
rnacentral:rRNA from 1 species